ensembl:snRNA U6 U6 spliceosomal RNA
UUUGUGGUUGCUUCUAUAAAAAAUAAAAUAAAAUUGGAAUGAUACAGAAAAGAUUAGCAUGGUCCCUGCAUAAGGAUGAUGGACAAGUUCAUGAAGAGAAGAGUUUAAUA